rnacentral:rRNA from 1 species
CAACCAGCGAUGGUGCGCCAAUCCCGAAAAGCCGUUCUCAGUUCGGAUCGGAGUCUGCAACUCGACUCCGUGAAGCUGGAAUCACUAGUAAUCGCGCAUCAGCAAUGGCGCGGUGAAUACGUUCCCGGGCCUUGUACACACCGCCCGUCAAGCCAUGGAAGUUUGGUAGACCUGAAGCCGGUGCUCCGCAACGAAGCCGGUUAGGGUAGAACAGGUAACUAGGGCUAAGUCGUAACAAGGUAGCCGUACCGGAAGGUGCGGCUGGAUCACCUCCUUUCUGGA